AAAAAUGGGUGCGUCCCCCAACCUGAUGCUAGCCCCUUUCCUGUUACUUCUCAGCCACAGCAGGAGCCCCUUGUCUUUCAGGCCAUGCAGCCAUGUUCCGGGAGCCCUAAUUGCACAGAAGCUCAUGGGGAGCUCCAGACCUGCAGCCCUGCUCUUGCCUCUCCUCCUCGUAGUCAUCGACCUCUCUGAUUCUGCUGGGAUUGGCUUUCGCCACCUGCCCCACUGGAACACCCGCUGUCCUCUGGCCUCCCACACGGUAAGGUGCCGCUGCCAGAUAGGGACACCUGCCUGGCACAGCCAUAAAUCUCCCCACUCCCCUGCCUGCCCUGUGCUACCUCCGCAGUCCCUGUGCUCUGGUGGCAGCUUUCAUGUGUCCUCUACAUAGUCUCAAAGGGGUAGCCAAAGUCCUUUGUGCUGGGGGCCUGGACAGGGUGGAGCUGGGAAGAUAAGAGCCAGAGGGUAUGGGCUAUUAGCUGUGGGGCUCAGAAUUCGCUGAUUUGAAGCAAAGACCCCAGGAAUGCUUCUUUUGGGAGUCUCUCCUAAUAAUAGCUCUCUCCUUUCUUUUCCCUACU
rnacentral:sRNA from 1 species